AUAAAUGAAUACGUUAUACCGUAGACAGCAGGUGCGGCUUCCGCUUAAUUUCCUGCCGAGGUGUGUGUGAAUAUAAAUAGAGCAGCGCAGACUGCCCUGCUCUAUGAUUCGUACCUCCAUGUCUACAUGGGGGUACUUUUUAUGAACAA
rfam:Halobacillus sp. BAB-2008 contig31, whole genome shotgun sequence.